rnacentral:rRNA from 1 species
CACGUAGGCACCAAGCGUUGUCCGGAUUCAUUGGGCGUAAAGGGUGCGUAGGCGGCGCGGUAAGUCGGGUGUGAAAUCUCGGAGCUUAACUCCGAAACUGCAUUCGAUACUGCCGUGCUUGAGGACUGGAGAGGAGACUGGAAUUUACGGUGUAGCGGUGAAAUGCGUAGAGAUCAUGAGGAAGACCAGUGGCGAAGGCGGGUCUCUGGACAGUUCCUGACACUGAGACACGAAGGCCAGGGGAGCAAACGGG